GGUGUGCUGCCCGUGCGCCCCUUCCCAGCCGCCCGGCCCCGACUGCCAGCUCUCCUUCGUCGCGCCGCCACCAUGCUCUCCGUCCGCGUCCCGCUCGCGCCCAUCACGGACCCGCAGCAGCUGCAGCUCUCGCCGCUGAAGGGGCUCAGCCUGGUCGACAAGGAGAACACCCCCCCGGCCCUGAACGGCACCCGCGUCCUGGCCAGCAAGACCGCGAGGAGGAUCUUCCAGGAGCCCGCGGAGCCGCAGAAGACCAGAGCGGCCGCCCCCGGCGCGGAGGAUGAGCCGCUGCUGAGAGAGAACCCGCGCCGCUUUGUCGUUUUCCCCAUCGAGUACCACGAUAUCUGGCAGAUGUACAAGAAGGCGGAGGCCUCCUUCUGGACCGCCGAGGAGGUGGACCUGUCCAAGGACGCUCGGCACUGGGAAUCCCUGAAGCCCGAGGAGAGACACUUUAUAUCCCACGUUCUAGCUUUCUUUGCAGCCAGCGAUGGCAUAGUGAAUGAAAACCUGGUGGAGCGAUUUAGCCAAGAAGUUCAGAUUACAGAAGCCCGCUGUUUCUAUGGUUUCCAAAUUGCCAUGGAAAACAUACAUUCUGAAAUGUAUAGUCUCCUUAUUGACACUUACAUAAAAGAUCCCAACGAAAGGGAAUUUCUCUUCAAUGCCAUUGAAACGAUGCCUUGUGUCAAGAAGAAGGCAGAUUGGGCCUUGCGCUGGAUUGGGGACAAAGAGGCUACCUAUGGUGAACGUGUCGUAGCCUUUGCUGCAGUAGAAGGCAUCUUCUUUUCUGGUUCUUUUGCAUCCAUAUUCUGGCUCAAGAAACGAGGACUGAUGCCUGGCCUCACAUUUUCUAACGAACUUAUUAGCAGAGAUGAGGGUUUACACUGUGAUUUUGCUUGCCUAAUGUUCAAACACCUAGUACAUAAACCAUCAGAGGAGAGAGUAAAAGAAAUAAUUAUCAAUGCUGUUCGGAUAGAACAGGAGUUCCUCACUGAGGCCUUGCCUGUGAAGCUCAUUGGGAUGAAUUGCACUCUAAUGAAGCAAUACAUUGAGUUUGUGGCAGAUAGACUUAUGUUGGAACUGGGUUUUAGCAAGGUGCUGGGAGUCCAGGAAGUGCUGAGCAGAUGGAGUCCACGCCCUCGGGGAGACAGAGACCAUCACCCUCCCAGAGUGUGGUGAGUCAGAGGGUGACAAGCUCUGAAGACCAGGAAAGCAGGGAGGAAGGGGCGGGCGAUGCCCUGUUCUCUUUCAUGUGGGGAGACGAGAGGAAACCGCAGGAAGUGGGGACCAACCACAUGGUUAGGGGAGGAAAGCGUGUUUCAGGCAGAGAGUGGCCAAGAGCAAAGGCCCCGUAGCAGGCGCGUCUGUGAGUGGUCAGAGCGGAGUGAGGGCUGGGAGAUGCGCGGGUCAGAGGGGAGAGGGUGUGUACAUGGCAGGUCUGCAGACCCAGGUAAAGAGUCUGGAUUUCAUUUCUAAGGGGACGAGAGGCUCGGGAAGGUCUGAUCAGCCUUCCGUCUUGAAAGGGACACCCCUGCUUCUGCGUGUCAGGUGCGCCAGUGGAAGUGGGAGGCGGUUGCAGCUUCCAGGCUGUCUCUCGAGUGGCUGUGGAUGCUGACAGAAUGCAUGCCCGCCUUGCCGUCACUGUUCACGCACAGCGCCUGCUGAGGACUCUCCUGUAACCCAAAGGGGUGGUGGAAGGAUGGAGCUUCAGGCCUUGAGGGCCAGAAGACGAACACGGAAGACUGAAUCUUCAGGGGACCCCAGCUCUGGGCUGGCCCGGGGCUGUGUUCUGAGGACGGAAGUGGAAGGAGGUGGCAGCAGGAGCCGGGCCCAAGGCAUCUCCCACACUUCCGAGGUCGAAGGAAAAAAAGAGGAAAAGCUAUCAGCAAUACCGAGGAAACAGCAGGCUAAGGUUGGCAUAGUUCUCAGUAAGCAUCACGGCAAUUCUCUGCUCCCUCCCUCACCUCUUGCCUACUGUUAAUCCAAAAAUGUCCAACAAAUAAGACAAGACC